GAUGAACGCUGACAGAAUGCUUAACACAUGCAAGUCUACUUGAAUUUGGGUUUUUAACUUAGGUUUGGGUGGCGGACGGGUGAGUAACGCGUAAAGAACUUGCCUCACAGCUAGGGACAACAUUUAGAAAUGAAUGCUAAUACCUAAUAUUAUGAUAAUAGGGCAUCCUAUAAUUAUGAAAGCUAUAUGCGCUGUGAGAGAGCUUUGCGUCCCAUUAGCUAGUUGGAGAGGUAACGGCUCACCAAGGCGAUGAUGGGUAGCCGGCCUGAGAGGGUGAUCGGCCACAAGGGGACUGAGACACGGCCCUUACUCCUACGGGAGGCAGCAGUGGGGAAUAUUGGACAAUGGACCGAGAGUCUGAUCCAGCAAUUCUGUGUGCACGAUGAAGUUUUUCGGAAUGUAAAGUGCUUUCAGUUGGGAAGAAAGAAAUGACGGUACCAACAGAAGAAGUGACGGCUAAAUACGUGCCAGCAGCCGCGGCAAUACGUAUGUCACGAGCGUUAUCCGGAUUUAUUGGGCGUAAAGCGCGUCUAGGUGGUUAUAUAAGUCUGAUGUGAAAAUGCAGGGCUCAACUCUGUAUUGCGUUGGAAACUGUAUAACUAGAGUACUGGAGAGGUAAGCGGAACUACAAGUGCAGAGGUGAAAUUCGUAGAUAUUUGUAGGAAUGCCGAUGGGGAAGCCAGCUUACUGGACAGAUACUGACGCUGAAGCGCGAAAGCGUGGGUAGCAAACAGG
rnacentral:rRNA from 1 species